rnacentral:rRNA from 1 species
AGCGAACGCUGGCGGCAGGCCUAACACAUGCAAGUCGAACGAACCUUUCGGGGUUAGUGGCGGACGGGUGAGUAACACGUGGGAACGUGCCUUUAGGUUCGGAAUAACUCAGGGAAACUUGUGCUAAUACCGAAUGUGCCCUUCGGGGGAAAGAUUUAUCGCCUUUAGAGCGGCCCGCGUCUGAUUAGCUGGUUGGUUGAGGUAAUGGCUCACCAAGGCGACGAUCAGUAGCUGGUCUGAGAGGAUGAUCAGCCACAUUGGGACUGAGACACGGCCCAAACUCCUACGGGAGGCAGCAGUGGGGAAUCUUGCGCAAUGGGCGAAAGCCUGACGCAGCCAUGCCGCGUGAAUGAUGAAGGUCUUAGGAUUGUAAAAUUCUUUCACCGGGGACGAUAAUGACGGUACCCGGAGAAGAAGCCCCGGCUAACUUCGUG